rnacentral:rRNA from 1 species
CGGAGGGAUCAUUAAAGAGUUCUAUAACUCCCAAACCCAUGUGAACAUACCUUACGUUGCCUCGGCAGGUUCGCGUCUACCUGGUAGCGCCCUACCCUGUAGGACCUACCCUGUAGAUGCGGGGAAAGCUUGCCGACGGCCCACGAAACUCUGUUUAAUAUUUCGAAUUCUGAAAAAUUAUAACUAAAUAAAGUUAAAACUUUCAACAACGGAUCUCUUGGUUCUGGCAUCGAUGAAGAACGCAGCGAAAUGCGAUAAGUAAUGUGAAUUGCAGAAUUCAGUGAAUCAUCGAAUCUUUGAACGCACAUUGCGCCCAUUAGUAUUCUAGUGGGCAUGCCUGUUCGAGCGUCAUUUCAACCCCUUAAGCCUCUGUUGCUUAGUGUUGGGAGCCUACGGUAACGUAGCUCCUCAAAGUUAGUGGCGGAGUCGGUUUACACUCUAGACGUAGUAGAUUCUAUCUCGUCUAUCGGUUGAGCCGGUCUCUUGCCGUAAAAAACCCCUAAUUUUUUAAAGGUUGACCUCGGAUCAGGUAGGAAUACCCGCUGAACUUAAGCAUAUC